CCGAAGAGACCUGCACACAGGUGCUGCAUGGCUGUCGUCAGCUCGUGUCGUGAGAUGUUGGGUUAAGUCCCGCAACGAGCGCAACCCUUGCCAUUAGUUGCUACGAAAGAGCACUCUAAUGGGACUGCCGGUGACAAACCGGAGGAAGGUGGGGAUGACGUCAAGUCCUCAUGGCCCUUAUAGGUGGGGCUACACACGUCAUACAAUGGCCGGUACAAAGGGUAGCCAACCCGCGAGGGGGAGCCAAUCCCAUAAAGCCGGUCGUAGUCCGGAUCGCAGUCUGCAACUCGACUGCGUGAAGUCGGAAUCGCUAGUAAUCGUGGAUCAGCAUGUCACGGUGAAUACGUUCCCGGGUCUUGU
rnacentral:rRNA from 1 species